ensembl:lncRNA
CUUGUUUUGCUGCGUCAGGCCUCAAGAUGGAGCGGGAGAAUUUGAGAAUGAUCUUGGGUUUAUUUUUGCUUCCCUUCGGGCCGUGCUGAUGUCUAGAAACUACUGAUACCUGGCUAGAAACACUUUCACUGUCAGCAGAGUUGUGUCCAUUUCCUGUGGAUUGUUUCUUUCCUCUGCUGGUGGUGUUUUUCUUCUUCGUUGGUUUUCUACCUGGUUUGUUGUUCUUCUUCGGGUUGUUCUGGUUAAGUCUGGGAGUGCAGAGAGACAGUUGAACCUUUGUUAGUCUGUGGAGUCUCAAGAUGGGUAAAGAAACAGCAGCGGACAUCUUGAGUUGAUUCAGGUUGACGCUAUGCAGAGAAUCUCCUUCCUCCAUCUUGAGUUGAUUCAGGUUAACGCUAUGCAGAGAAUCUCCUUCCUCCAUCUUGAGUUGAUUCAGGUUAACGCUAUGCAGAGAAUCUCCUUCCUCCAUUUUGAGUUGAUUCAGGUUAACACUAUGCAGAGAAUCUCCUUCCUCCAUUUUGAGUUGAUUCAGGUUAACACUAUGCAGAGAAUCUCCUUCCUCCAUUUUGAGUUGAUUCAGGUUAACACUAUGCAGAGAAUCUCCUUCCUCCAUUUUGAGUUGAUUCAGGUUAACACUAUGCAGAGAAUCUCCUUCCUCCAUCUUGAGUUGAUUCAGGUUAACACUAUGCAGAGAAUCUCCUUCCUCCAUCUUGAGUUGA